GAUGAAGAACGCAGCGAACUGCGAUAAGUAAUGUGAAUUGCAGAAUUCAGUGAAUCAUCGAGUCUUUGAACGCACAUUGCGCCCCCUGGCAUUCCGGGGGGCAUGCCUGUCCGAGCGUCAUUGCUGCCCUUCAAGCCCGGCUUGUGUGUUGGGUCGUCGUCCCCCCCGGGGGACGGGCCCGAAAGGCAGCGGCGGCACCGCGUCCGGACCUCGAGCGUAUGGGGCUUUGUCACCCGCUCGAUUAGGGCCGGCCGGGCGCCAGCCGGCGUCUCCAACCUUCUAUUUUACCAGGUUGACCUCGGAUCAGGUAGGGAUACCCGCUGAACUUAAGCAUAUCAAUAAGCGGAGGA
rnacentral:misc_RNA from 1 species